UACGGAGGGAGCUAGCGUUGUUCGGAAUUACUGGGCGUAAAGCGCACGUAGGCGGCUUUUUAAGUCAGGGGUGAAAUCCCGGGGCUCAACCCCGGAACUGCCCUUGAAACUGGAGAGCUAGAAUCUUGGAGAGGCGAGUGGAAUUCCGAGUGUAGAGGUGAAAUUCGUAGAUAUCAGGAGGAACACCGGUGGCGAAGGCGGCCAUCUGGACGACAACUGAUGCUGAGAUGCGAAAGCGUGGGGAGCAAACAGG
rnacentral:rRNA from 1 species